UACGUAGGGUCCAAGCGUUGUCCGGAAUUAUUGGGCGUAAAGAGCUCGUAGGCGGUGUGUCGCGUCGGAUGUGAAAGCCCGGGGCUUAACUUCGGGUCUGCAUUCGGUACGGGCAUGCUGGAGUUCGGUAGGGGAGACUGGAAUUCCUGGUGUAGCGGUGAAAUGCGCAGAUAUCAGGAGGAACACCGGUGGCGAAGGCGGGUCUCUGGGCCGGCAUUGACGCUGAGGCGCGAAAGCCAGGGGAGCAAACGGG
rnacentral:rRNA from 1 species